ensembl:lncRNA
CUGCACUUUCGCCUUGGAGCGAGAAGAUCUCUGGUUCGCAUCCCGGCUUUCCUGGGAUCUUUCUGCAUGGAGUUUGCAUGUUCUUCCUGUGCAGGAUCCUCAUGCUUUCCCGCUGAGACAUUUAUGUUGAGCGUCGACCAAGAGGUUGUUAAGAACAACAUCACCUUUCCUCACAUCUGGCCUCUGCCUGAUGUUUGGCACUUACUACUGCUUCAACAUACACUACCCAGUGGAACUACAGUCAACAUUGGAGUUCCUCCAGUGGUGUUUCUUUUCAAUAAAUCCUGAGAAAGGCUCCAAAGUUGAGUGGAGGAAGAAGAAAAAAGUGUUCUCAGUCAAUCCCAGGGUCCUCACUCUCAUCUCAGACCUUGCUGACCAUGAGUGGACCUACUAGUGACUAGCCACUAGGACUAGUGGCAGUGUUCUCCCCUCCUCCGGCCCUGCUCUCUCUCUCUCCUACGUGUGCGUUGGCACAGAGGCUUGGCAGCAGGUGUUGACAAUCAGUAAUCAGUGAAUCCAAGCAGGUGGGAGUGAUUCAAUCAGCCAUAGUGGGGCAGGUUAUCUCAAUAUUCGUAAGAAUCUUUCACUUGGUGAUACAAGCACCAAAAUUGGCACAAAUGACGUCCAGGACAUACAUUUCAAGAAAAGUACGUUAGCCAUCAGAAAAUUCGAGAUGGCUGCCAGUUUUCAAGAUGGCUGCUGAAGCAAACCUGACAAAUUGCAAUUUUUGAAGUGGAACUCCAAUUAACAAUUUCUUUAUGGUAAAAAAAUAAAAUGAAUGUAUUCUCAUAUGGUAAAGCC